rnacentral:misc_RNA from 1 species
GAUAAUUAUAAAUGACCGCCAUUUAAAAACCCUGCGGAAACUUAUUUCGAUAAAAAGCAUGAAGAUUUUAACCUAUGGAAGACAUCAAUGAUUAUUUAGAAUAUUUUGACCAUCAUGAGUCAUUGAUUUUGUACAAUAUAUACUCUUAUAACCAAAAGCCUAAUGAGUAUAAGCAUUACCCAACUUUGAAGGAAAUUUUUCUGCAUGUUUUUCUAACCAAGUAAUUGUGCACUAAACAAGUGGAUUGACAAAGAAUAGCAACAAAUUUAUUGUCCCAAAAAAAAACUAUAAUCAUGCACUGAAAAACAACCUUUCGUCAACAAAAGAAUGGCACAAAUUUCCAUUGAUAAAGUGUAAGAUAACAGAUAGUCAGUAUCUAACUUGUUUUGUGUUUUUUUUUAAAGAGUUGUUAUCAGAUUCAAAGAUUGAAGAAGAUAAUUUUUCUUCACAUUUUAUUGAUGAACAGAAUAAAACCAACCAAAGUUCACAUUGUCAAAGGGCUUCAAGUUUUAAUAUGAGUAUUUUUGGUUUUUACACCACUGAAUGUUAAUGUGGAGAGAUGCAAAAUGUUAUUCUCAAUGAGCUUGCAGAAAUAAAAGUUCUUUCAAAAGAAGUUAUAGAAAUUAAGUUUCAGGCUACUGGGGUGAAGUUGCUAGAAUCAGUGGAUGAAGUGGUUACACUGGAUAAUAAACUAAAAGAUAAAACCGAGUAUACUAAUUUGCUUGAUAGUUUGAAAAAGAUUGGUGGUGGAAAGUCAAGAGAACAUGUUUUUUUGAUCAUGAAAAGGUUAUUUUCGAAUCAGUUACAGUCCAAAUAUAAUCGAAAAGGAAAUGGAGAAAAGAUAAGCUUAGAAAAUCUAGUAAAUAUAUAAAGUGUUUUACGAGAUAUCGGAGACGUGGAAGAAAAUGUUGACGGCAAUGAAGUAGUAUAGUUCCUUAUGUAUAUUUUUGUGAAAUAAAAAUUAAGUAAUCUUAGUUAAAA